GGAGCGGCUAGCACACCUAAUGGCAGACAGCGCCCCAGACUAAUGUCCAAGAGCACAAAAUUGAAUCCACAAAAUAUCUCCAUACUGCUCAUCUGUAGUGAUCCAAGUGUGCUGCAGCCCCGACAUAAAAAGUUGUUUCGAAAAAGUCAUAUGAACUCUGUUUUUAGCCUCACUGUAGUCUGUAGCUCUGACUGCUUCUCUGUGCUCCACGCUCACGCGUGCGCGCUUGUGCAAGACCAGCAAAAGCAUGACCUUUGCUCACCCGUGUUUACAUCACGUGACACAUGCACCGCAGGGGGAGACAGCAGUAACCACAGUAGCUAAAAGAUAAUUUGCACUACGGUCUUUUAGCAAAGGACAGCCCAACAUGUCUGAAGACUUUGAAAUUGAGGAGGAGCAGCAUUUCUUUGUUGAGCCGUAUUUGUUUGAGUCUGAGCAUACGCAUGGAACUCAGGCUACUGGACGAAGCAGCCGCCGCAGCUCAUGAGCCUCAGCCAGCCACAGAAUACCGGAGUCGAGCACUGGAAACCUGGUGGUGUAGUUGUUUCAAAUGCAAAGCAGUGCCAACGGAUGAGGAAAGUCUUUGCUGCUCAGACUGGGAAUUGGCGAUGCCUGCACUUGAGAAUCUGGACAUCAGUACUGACGAGACUGCUGCUCUUCAGAGACCGUGCAUCACCGAUCACCCUGACUUUCCAACACUACUGACCUGUGGUGUUCUGGAGACAUUUUUUUACUUCCCAAAGAUCAACUGGAAGAAAAGGUAGAGGCCUGCAGGACCAGAUGACAGGCUUUCAGAGGAGUAAGUCAUUCCGUUUCUACUGUAGUUCAGGUGGACAAUGGCAUUGGUCUCGGAUAUGUGGUUACUGUUGUCUCUCCCUGCGGUGCACGGGUAAGCAAAGCUCAUGCUUUUGCUGGUCUUGCGCAAGCACACACAAGUGAGCGGGGAGCACAGAGAAGCAGUCAGAGCUACAGGCUACAGUGAGGCUAAAAACAACUUUUUAUGUCAGAGCCUCAGCACACUUGGAUCGCUACGGAUGAGCGUGUUGGAGAUAUUUUGUGGUUUCAAUUUUGUGUUCUUGGACAUUAGUCUGGGGCGCCGUCUGCCAUUAGGUGUGCUAGCCACUCCCCCCUCGGAUCUCCGCAAGGAAUGUGAGGACUCUAAAACUUCACCUGAGCCUCCCUCGGCAUAUGGAUGGGAGGCCCCGGGGCAGACCCAGAACACGCUGGAGGGAUUGCAUAUCUCAUCUGGCCUGGGAACACCUUGGGGUCCCUGAGGAGGAGCUGGAAAGCAUCGCUGGUGAGAGGGAUGUCUGGGGUGCUUUGCUUGGUCUGCUGCCCCUGCGACCUGGAUAAGCAUCCUGAAAAUGAAUGGAUGACACAAUACAUGCUCCAACAUCCCACAAAGCCCUGCUCCUCUAAUAGGAAAUGCUACACACAGGCCCAGAGCCUGCCGCCAGCUGAGUUUCACUUGUAUAAUCCUCCAGACCAUGAACUCAUCUUAAGACCAAGUGGAUAAAAGUGAACAUGAGGAUGACCAUGCAUGAAUGCUGGGGCAGUUACACAGGACCCUUUGUCUGCAACAGAAAGCAGCACAUGAGGAAUUUGCACGAGCUCAGCGAGACCCAUUUGAAUGCAGUCUUGUGAGCAGUCUUGAACAUGUGAGACUUACAGUGAGGACGGCAGAGGAGAUACUUGCACACCAAUGUUUUGUAGAGAGCCACAAAAAGUUUCUCCUCUGCCGUCCUUUCUCGUUUGUCUAUCGCACAGACACACCCAAGUAGACGCAGUUUCACAGCAGCCCUCGGACCUACCUUGAGGACACUGACAAAACAAAUCAACAUUUAAAACUGACUUACUGAUCCUUUGUGAUCAAAAGGAGAAGAAGCCGCCUACAGGGAAACCACAAAGAACAUUUAACACGGUCCGUUCAUCAAAGGUUUAAGACUACAAAGGAGCUCAUUUGCUGACUGGGGAGAUGGAUGUGGAGAUAAAGUGGCUGAGGCGGAGACCCGAAUGAGAGAGGACAGCUACGGAAUGAAAGGGGGAGAGAAGGAGGAUGACAUGCAGCAAAGAGCCGUGGAUUAGAAUUGAGCCUACAGCCGCUGCAGCAAGGACACAGCCUUUGUACAUGGGCUGCUUUACGAGGCUUCCAUUAAUGAAGAUCUGACUCCCUUUCUGUUCUCUCUCUACCACAACUGUCAGCCUCAUCCCAGACGAGGAUGACAGAGAAUACAGAGCACUGAUCCAGGGCUGGAAUCCAGUUCAGUGCAGGAAAACCCAAAAAGCUGGUGGUCUUCGUGACGGCUGACAGUAGGAGACUUAACACACUGAUAGCUCUGUCCUGGGAUGCUCCCUCGACCUGGUGGAGGUGGUGGGAGAAAGGAGAAUGAAAGCCAAGCCAACCUCUGUUAUAGACAACAUGUCCUACCCCAUGCAGGACACUGACAGCACCGGGCAGCUCCUUCACUGACAGGAGAGAUAAAGCAGGUCCUUCCUUCCUGCUGCUGUCAGACGACGCAACCAACACUGCUCCCAGUGGACCACACACACUAAAACUGUGGACAAUCAGUCAUCACUCGUGCAAAAUCUGUAUCUGCAUAUACCAACUGUGAAUUAUCUAUACUUGGUGCAUGCAAUAAUGUAAAUACUGCCGCUGUCUGUUUAUCAUUAUAUGUUGCUUUUAAUUUGUGCUGCUUACAAUGAACCACUCAGGUGCAGAAUCAGUAUUGUUAAACUGUGCAAUAUCUAUAUUUCCAUCUGGUCAAUGAUGUAAAAUCAGCCACAGUCUGUCUCUUUAUUAUAUUCAGCUUCUUUCUGAUGCUUCCUUAUUAUAUUGCUUUGUGGUUUAUACUGUUUGCUGAUCACACUGCUCUGUUUUUGUACACUUUAUUUAUUUAACGUACUUAUAUACUGCUUUGUAUUUUUUUCUGAUGCUUCCUGUUUGCACUCUGUCCCUUUGCUGCAAAUUUCCCCGCUGUGGGAUGAAUUAAGGAUUAUUUUAUCUGAUUAUCUGUCUGAACAAAUCAUGCAGCACUCUUAUUGCAGCUUCAUUGAGAGGGGGCACAUGUCUCCCACCAUUUGUUCUCCCAUCCAUCCUCUCCACCCCUGCCCUUUAACAUCACACAUUACUUUAGCCUUUAAAUAAAUCAGACUGUACAACGCUUGUCAAGGUAGGGACGAGCUUGAUUUAUAUUUUCUGGAAAGCCAGUAUUUUUAAAUGAGAAGAUUUUCAUCUGAAGGCAACAGUUGAUUACAUUUAGUGGCUUUGUUUACACGCCUGCAGUAACACCAUAACUGCUGAGAGUCUGAGUAAGACUAAAUGUGCUAAUUAUCGUCUUACGUUUGACAUGUUGUCCUUGCAAGUUUUCCAACAAACUGACACACAAAACACAAGCUGCUGUAAUUAAACGCAUGAGCAACUUGCUCACAAUUAAAUUACUGUAAUUUGACCAGUCUUAACCUGUCUGCACGUUCGUCAGAGUGCGCCAGAUACUGGAGGUUACUGUGAUAACACUGAACUCCAGCUGAUGCAAUAAUCACAGUUGUAUAAUCAGUGUGAGGUUUAUGUGCGUCCUGCAAGCUGCUGGGAGAGGUUUGCCUACAGGGUUGCCAGGUUUGCCAGAAAGGGAUUUCUUGGUUAAGGUUAGGAAAAAAUUGUGGUUUGGGCUAAAAUGAACAAAUUUUUCUGGCAGAAAGCCCUCCAGGAAAACUUCUCCCAUGUGUAUCCUCCAACCACAUUUUUUCCCUUGUAACCUUGAUAAAAGUCCCAGUUUUACUCUCUUAAUGCAAUGUCACUCCACCCUCAUCUGUACUUUCUCUAAAUGCUUCGUCAGCUCCUGUUAGCAGCUGCUUUAUAGCUCUUGGCAUCGCUUCAGUUGCCAGGCAGUCUCUGUCUGUGAUGUAUAAAGCACCAAACGCACA